GAACAGCUGUUGUUCCCACGAAAGACACAGUGUUAUCAUGCACAGCCACCAACACACAUUCCAAUUGAAAGGGCACCAUGCCGUCCUCGAAGCAAGGAUUUUCUAUGCAAUGAGGAAGUGCCUCAUUCUUAGGAAGUACAACAUAAUUUCCGGAUGGACAAGGGCCUUGCCUGUAGGCCUCAUGACAAGAGUUGUUCAAUGGGAAGUACAGGAAUCGUGGCUUACAAUCGCACACCCAGGAAUCCUUCGAACCACUGCCUGGAUAGAGAAGCAUGUUUUCCGGACAACUGCUCGGUAUUAACACGGAUUACCGUAGAGUUACCACCGCUAACAUGAAACGUCUCCUCGUCAAUUGGGAAUAUCACAUCCUGGCUUUGUAUCAUGUAAUUAUACAUGAGAAGUACAAUUCCGGUGUACAAACGUUUCAUCUUCAUUCUUGAAUAAGACUAUGCGCCGUUGAGAAAAAUAAAAAGUAUAGGUAUAUAUACAUAUAUACACUUGAUGAAGACCAAGAUAUGAGGAAUACCAGUUUUGCAUAAAUGAAUGUUAAUGUGUUCCUAACAACACAUUAAACAUAUCUUGAUUUGUUUUGGAUCUUCUUCAAUUCAAUGACAAACUAAAA